UUGACGUACACAAGCAGUCUUUCUCUGGGGUUCUGGAAUCGGGGGUGGGGAUUACUACCUUGAAAUCUGGCAGUGCUGUGGGAAGCACUGGGCAUGGAGGGACUCCCAACUUGUGCCCACCUAGGCGGUAACCGGAGAGUCCAGGCAGGCUCUAACUCGGGGCCCCAUGACUCACCGCAGCACCCCCACCCCUGCGCCAAGCUGCGGUCUCCGCCUACCCCCCCACACCACCUCUGCCACCGACUCUGGGAGCUGCUGAUUCCAAGGAGCUCAGCCGGGAGAUAAAGGGCCUCAGCCCCUUUGCCCCCCUCCCACACCUCAGCUUGCCCAGAUCUUCCAGCUCCCACUCUUUUGGCUGGCUUCGCCCUACAAAGGACCUUUCCUUUGGGAAGAAGACCCCAAGCGCGGCAGGCAGCAGAGCACCCCAGGAUCUCCUCUAAAAACAGGAGAGAGAAAAUUGUUGAGAGAGCCAAGAGUAAUGGGCCACGAAAUUCCCAUCAGAAGUCAAGCAUAGUGGACUGCCACUUGGAUUUCAUGGCCUCCUUUCAUGGUUUCCCUGAAACCCCUGCACUCUCAGAACUUUUCCACUCGUGACAGUGGUGUUUUAUUGCCCAGUUGCACCUUGGAGUUGACACCAUAGUCUCCAGCGAUGGAGGAGGAGAAGGGGUGGAAU